GCCAGUAUAGCUCAGCUGGUAGAGCGCCCGCCUUGUAAGCGGAUGGUCAUCGGUUCAAAUCCGAUUACUGGCUCCA
rnacentral:tRNA from 1 species